GUCUGAUGUAGGAAAAGUAGUAUGGUAUCCAUUUAGAUAUAUAUGUAUUUUAAUCUGUUUCAUAUUCAUGUGAAAGUGUUUUUUGCUAACAAUGUAUCGUUUCAAUCAUUGUUAAUGUGGUUAAUGCCAGACAUGGCUAAGCAUUUCACAUAGCUAAAUGUUCUAAUAUUGACAAGCUAUGGUUUCUAUAAUAUUAAAAUGAACAUUGUGUUUCCAAGAAUGUAAUUUUUCAGUCCAAAACAUGCAUGUAUUCUUCACAGUCUAAUUAAAGGGAUGGCCGUUAGCUGCAGUUUAAUUUUGAUAUGGUGGAGUGUAGAGGGUUAAUAACCUUUUGAAUCCCAAUUGUUCUGUUGUAUUUCAGUACAUGAAAGUCAUAUAGUUGUCAGGGGCCCAGGAAACUUCAGGUUGAAUAAUGUAUUGAAUAGGCAAAUUGUUUGACUCCAGUGCUCUUUUUGAAAUAUAUAAUGAGAUACAUUUUAUGUAAAUACAUGCUAAUUUGUAAGGUGACUAAUUGGUUAACCAAAAGAAAAAGUAUUACAAACUAAAGAGCUAAUAUGAUACCAGUACAAUAAUGUCAUUAUUUGGCCAUUCAUGUUGUUAAAAAGUUAGAAGAAAUUCUGCAAAUGGAACUUUGUCCUAUUUAUAAAUAAAAUGCCCCCCUUGUUGUUCUCUGUCACCCCUUUGCCAUCCCAUGUCUACAAUCCUGGACAUGCCACUGAGAAUCCCGUGACAGUAAAAAUAUGAAAUGCAGACAUCCCAAGUCUCCCGGAAAUUCCGGAAGUCUCCCGCAUAUUGAUAGCGGCUCCCUGAUGCCCGCAAAUGAGUUAAAAUAUCCCGGAAUUUAGAACGAGUGAUCACUGGAGAAGGGUCCAACUGCAGCUUGCAGCAGUCGCUCACGCCAGGCCCCCUGCUCACGCCGCGCCCGCUCACGCCGCGCCCCCGCUAGCACGCAACUUCCGACUUUCAGACAUGUACGGUUUGUUUACAAAAUGCAGAUGGACCAUAUUGCCAUAUUGAGUCAUGGCGGCAACAACUCCCGGGAAGCACCUGGGUUUCCCUCAUCAAACUACUGUAAAUUCUUGUGGCAUCUUAAUGUUGAUGGUAAAUUGCUUUGUAGUCUCUGAUUAAAGGUUUUUGGGUUUUUUCUAUUAUCUGAAAAUGUAAUAACCUCACAGAUCUUUGCCUUUUACACUUUACAGUAUGCACUCAGCCUGAGCACAGAGGCUCCAUUUUGGUUAAUUGAGGUCAGUAUUGUUCUUCUCACAUAGGAGCAAGUAUAAGAGGAACUUAAAUCCACCCUAACAUGACAUUGACUUUGGUUAAUUGUUUACAAUUUCCAGAAGUCUAACUAAGCAUGAUCUAUAAAGUACUUUGCACUACAGUAUUAACCACACAUCAAAGAACUGUUUGUGGGACUAUUUAACAUGGCUCUAUAACUUUUUGUACUCUGCUGUAAUUGACAUGCCAAUGGUUUGCAGACAAAUAGUGAUUUGUGACUGAACAUGAACAUUACUCAACUUAAAUAUUCUAUUUCUUUUAGAGGGACAUGGCACGCAUCUGAAAAUGGUGGUGCAUUAGUCUAAUGGAACGGUUCCAGAUUGACGGCCAUGGACAGAGGUUUGCAUACUGGACUAAUGAGGCCAGAGCAUUGCUCCAAGGUUCACUGCAGCCGAUAUACAGGGUCCCAAAGGUCAGCAAGAGGAAACAUGAGGUUUCGAUUAGAAAAUGAUGACAGGUGCAUCAUAUUGGAGUUACCAACGUGUGUGCUUUCUGAAAUCCUAAAUGAAGUGGUACUACAGGAAGGAGAUAAGGCAUACUUAAGAUUGGCUCUUGUGUGUACCACCUUCAGGGACACUGUGUCCACUGACUCCUUCAGGAGACGGGCACAUUUUCAGUGGCUUGACAGUGUCGCUACAUGGAGCAGGUUUUCUGAGUCCUAAAGAAAAUAAUUCUACACCAUGUACACCGUGGACACCUGUCGUGAAUGUGGAAUGCUUUUCAAAAACUGCACACCUGGAUAUGUUGGAACAGGACAAAGGGGUGUACUUGAAGCAGUUUACUCAGAAGACCCACAUCCCGGUUACUGCGAUCACUUUUGCCGCCAAAUGCAAUAGUGAGAACGGACACGUAUACUAACUGUUGGCAGACAACCCUGAGCCAGCUGGGUGUUUUUUGGGUGUGGCUUGAAACUUGGGAUUGAAUUUUGAAUUCUCCAGUGUUAUUACAGACUGUUAAUUAAUUGUUUAUGACAAAAAAGAAAUGUCAUAUGUUUAAACAACCUUUGGGUGAACUUUUUGUAUAAUUUUAAAAAUGUUAAAACUAACAUCUAUUGAGAGUCUACUUUAUGCUUUUUUGGUUUUAAUAACGUCCUGUUCAAUGUGUAAUAAAAUUCAAAUCCUCUGAA